AAUAAAAAACAAUACUGUGAACAAACCAGAGUGUAUAAAACAUGUAAUAUAUUAUAUAUUUAGCAAUGAAUGUUUUAUCAUGGAAUAUUGCUAAUUGAUACUGUAUUUCAUGUUUCGAUGGAGAUAGUUGGAGUUAAGAGUACUGAUAGGCGAGCGGUGAAAUGCAUUGACCCUAUUAAGACUAACAAAAGCGAAAGCACUUAACUAGAUUAUUCUCUUUGUAUUAUUACAAUGAAGAGCGAAGGUUGGGGGAACAAAGAGGAUCAGAUACCCUCGUAGUCCUAUUUUUACAUCAAACUAUGGGAUUUCAAUCAACCAAUAUAUAUACAUGUAAUAUAUAAUAUAAUUGAGUCAUUAAUACUGACUCUUAUAUUUAAAUGUUAUUCAAUUAUUGAUUAUAUGUACUUUGAGCUCAUAUAAUUAUAUAGGUGAGAUGUAAGCAUUAUAGGAUUUUCAUAAUAUAUAAGUAAUAUUAUAUUAUUAUGAUCCUUAUUUAUAAAAAUGUAAUGUGAUG
rnacentral:rRNA from 1 species